AGGGUGUAAACGCUGCAGACUUGGUGUUGGGAACCCUUCGGGGGUGCUCAGUGCCGGAGAGAAGUUGUUAAGUCUGCUACUUGGGGAGUACGUCCGCAAGGAUGAAACUUAAAGGAAUUGGCGGGGGAGCACCGCAACGGGAGGAGCGUGCGGUUUAAUUGGAUUCAACGCCGAAAAACUCACCAGCAGCGACUGUUACAUGAAAGCCGAGAUGAAGACUCUGCUAGAUUUUUCAGAGAGGUGGUGCAUGGCGUCAGUGACU
rnacentral:rRNA from 1 species